rnacentral:rRNA from 1 species
AUUGAACGCUGGCGGCAGGCCUAACACAUGCAAGUCGAACGAGUGGCGAACGGGUGAGUAAUGUCUGGGAAACUGCCUGAUGGAGGGGGAUAACUACUGGAAACGGUAGCUAAUAACGCAUACCAUCCGAUGUGCCCAGAUGGGAUUAGGUUGUUGGGGGGAAAACGACUCACAAAGGCGACGAUCCCUAGCUGGUCUGAGAGUAUGACCAGCCACACUGGAACUUAGACACGGCCCAGACUCCGAGGGGAGGCAGCAGUGGGAAUGAUUGCACAAUGGGCGCAAGCUGGAUGCAGACAUCCCGCGUGGAUGAGGAAGGCUUCCGGGUUGUAAAGUAUUUUAAGCGGGGAGGCGUUACCCGCAGAAGAAGCACCGGCUAACUCCGUGCCAGCAGCCGCGGUAAUAC